rnacentral:ncRNA from 1 species
CUUGAUGGGGUGCUCCGGUGUUUGCCGUGGCUGAGAUUAUACCCGUGUGAACCUGAUUCGGAUAAUGCCGACGUAGGGAUGUUCAGAUG